rnacentral:rRNA from 1 species
AUACAGAGGUGGCAAGCGUUGUUCGGAAUUACUGGGCGUAAAGGGCGCGUAGGCGGCCAUCUAAGUCAGACGUGAAAUCCCCCGGCUUAACCUGGGAACUGCGUCUGAUACUGGAAGGCUGGAGUUUGGGAGAGGGAUGUGGAAUUCCAGGUGUAGCGGUGAAAUGCGUAGAUAUCUGGAGGAACACCGGUGGCGAAGGCGGCAUCCUGGACCAACACUGACGCUGAGGCGCGAAAGCUAGGGGAGCAAACGG